UACGUAGGGUGCGAGCGUUAAUCGGAAUUACUGGGCGUAAAGCGUGCGCAGGCGGUUCGUUAUGUCCGUUGUGAAAGCCCCGGGCUCAACCUGGGAAUGGCAAUGGAAACUGGCGGGCUAGAGUGUGGCAGAGGGGGGUGGAAUUCCGCGUGUAGCAGUGAAGUGCGUAGAGAUGCGGAGGAACACCGAUGGCGAAGGCAGCCCCCUGGGCUAGCACUGACGCUCAGGCACGAAAGCGUGGGGAGCAAACAGG
rnacentral:rRNA from 1 species